rnacentral:rRNA from 1 species
UCUCGAAAAUGGUCGGAUUAGGAUUCUUCUGAAAGAACUAUUCCUGGCGGUCUCUUAUCUCUUUCUAGAGAAACAUGUGUUUGGAAAAUGAAGAUGCACAAUUUACUCUUCUCUCCUUUCCGAAAGGAGGAAACUUUGUCCACUGCUGUCUGAAAGGGGGAGUGUCUCUCUGAUUUCUUGAUAAGGAAGUAAGGCAAGUAAAGGUGCAGGAGAAGGGAGAGAAAAGAUGUGUUUCUAGUUGGAUGUUGUGUGGACCCCUUCGAGUAGGAGAAGGGGGAAAAAGAAUUUAGAAGUACCUUGUUAGUUAAGGGAGCUUGGGGGAAAAAGCUCUGAGAGAUGU